GGUUACUGCUAUCGGGGUCCGACUAAGCCAUGCGAGUUGAGAGGGGUAAGCCCUCGGCAUACUGCUCAGUAACACGCGGAUAACCUGCCCUUGGGUCCGGGAUAACCCCGGGAAACUGGGACUAAUACCGGAUAGAUCAGAGAAACUGGAAUGUUCUCUGGUUCAAAACUCCGGCGCCCAAGGAUGGGUCUGCGGCCUAUCAGGUAGUAGUGGGUGUAACGUACCUACUAGCCAGCGACGGGUAAGGGUUGUGAGAGCAAGAUCCCUGAGAUGGAUUCUGUGACAUGAAUCCAGGCCCUACGGGGUGCAGCAGGCGCGAAAACUUUACACUGCGGGAAACCGCGAUAAGGGGACCCCGAGUGCCAGCACCUAGUGCUGGCUGUCCUACUGUCUAAAUAACAGUGGUUAGCAAGGGCCGGGCAAGACCGGUGCCAGCCGCCGCGGUAACACCGGCGGCCCGAGUGGUAACCGUUUUUAUUGGGUUUAAAGGGUCCGUAGCCGGCUUACUAAGUCUCUUGGGAAAUCUGGCGGCUCAAUCGUCAGGCGGCCAAGAGAUACUGGUAGGCUUGGGACCGGGAGAGGUGGGAGGUACUCCAGGGGUAGGGGUGAAAUCUCGUAAUCCUUGGGGGACCACCGAUGGCGAAGGCAUCCCACCAGAACGGGUCCGACGGUGAGGGACGAAAGCUGGGGGCACGAACCGGAUUAGAUACCCGGGUAGUCCCAGCUGUAAACGAUGCUCGCUAGGUGUCAGGUGCGGUGCGACCGCAUCUGGUGCCGCAGUGAAAACUUGAAGCGAGUCACCUGGGAAGUACGGUCGCAAGGCUGAAACUUAAAGGAAUUGGCGGGGGAGCACUACAACGGGUGGAGCCUGCGGUUC
rnacentral:rRNA from 1 species